UCCCUGGUGGUCUAGAGGCUAAGGAUCCCGCGUGCUCACCGACAUGGCCCAGGUUUGAUUCCUGGGCAGGGAA